rnacentral:rRNA from 1 species
GGCGGUGAUUUAACUGAUCAGAGGAAUUUGCCCCAUAAUCGAUAACCCCCGCUAUAACUUGCUUAAGUUUGUUUCCAGUUUGUAUACCGCCGUCAUCAGGAAAUUUUAUGAAAACAUUUUCAAGAUUUUAUGAAAACAUAUGUCAGGUCAAGGUGCAGCUUAUACUUAAGAGGAGGUGAAUUACAAUAAAUAAAUUUAUUACGGAAUCCUUGUUGUAAGUUAAGGAAGAAGGUGGAUU